rnacentral:lncRNA from 1 species
AGUUUGGGGAGCUUAGAGACAGCCCAUUCUAUUAUAGCACAAUCUACCUUCUAAGAGAGUAAGAGUACAUCAAGAACCACUCAGAUCACAAGGUUUCAAUCACCGAUCUAAAAGAUCUCGUGAAAACAACCCACGAAAUCAACCAAACGUUUAGGAGUUUAACAAUACAAAUAUCAGCCACUCUCUCAAGCAUGACCAUUUACAAGAUCUACAAACUCCAUUACUAAAGAUCACAGAAAUCUUACAAAACGAGAGAGAAAAUUUCAGAUUCAGAUAUGCAAAACAGAGAACCAGAAUAGAGAAGGAGAAAAAUCUAGAGUGUGAACCAAAAGUCUCAUGACUUUUGGGUAGUAAAGGACGGUCCAUCUCCCAAGGAUCAAUCUUAGCCUUUAAUUGAAUCUAACGAUCCAAAACAAAUCUCAACUAGCACAAUCCAAGUAUCAAGUGUCCAAUAAUUGAGUGCCAAUUAGGUAGAGUUUUCCAAGUAAGCAGAAAAACCAAUUGACAUAAAUAGCACUCGUUUUAGAGUAUUUUGAGAAACAUCACUUUUCACAUUCUUCUCCUUGAUUCUCAACAACACUCGCUCUCUAGUUGCUGAAAGUGCCAUGGAACAGUUGUACAUCAUCAUCAUCCUAAUACCUGCAAAAGAAAAUUAAUCUCUAU